AGGGCUGACGGAGAUUCGUACUGGAUUGGCCUGAAUGACGUACGGAAGGAAGGGAGUUUCGUGUGGAGUGAUGAGGCAAAAUCUCCUGCCGUGUACACCAACUGGCACCCGGACCAACCUGAUAACGGUGGCGGGGAGGAUUGUGUAGAAAUGACGAGGAACCAGGACUGGAAUGAUCUACCCUGUUCAUCGAAGUUGAACUUCAUUUGCGAAAAAGAAAUGACUCAUUGGACCUGCCCGCCUAUGUACGGAGUGAAUGCGUUUAGAGGCAAGUGUUUUAAAUUCUCCGUGCGCAGAGUGACCUUCAACAAGGCUAAGGCCAUCUGCCGGACAGACGGGGGGCGACUUGCUGUCCUCAAGGACAAGGGAACAGACGUCUUUAUC